UGCAGUCGAGCGACAGAUAAGGAGCUUGCUCCUUUGACGUUAGCGGCGGACGGGUGAGUAACACGUGGGUAACCUACCUAUAAGACUGGGAUAACUUCGGGAAACCGGAGCUAAUACCGGAUAACAUUUGGAACCGCAUGGUUCUAAAGUGAAAGAUGGUUUUGCUAUCACUUAUAGAUGGACCCGCGCCGUAUUAGCUAGUUGGUAAGGUAACGGCUUACCAAGGCGACGAUACGUAGCCGACCUGAGAGGGUGAUCGGCCACACUGGAACUGAGACACGGUCCAGACUCCUACGGGAGGCAGCAGUAGGGAAUCUUCCGCAAUGGGCGAAAGCCUGACGGAGCAACGCCGCGUGAGUGAUGAAGGGUUUCGGCUCGUAAAACUCUGUUAUUAGGGAAGAACAAACGUGUAAGUAACUGUGCACGUCUUGACGGUACCUAAUCAGAAAGCCACGGCUAACUACGUGCCAGCAGCCGCGGUAAUACGUAGGUGGCAAGCGUUAUCCGGAAUUAUUGGGCGUAAAGCGCGCGUAGGCGGUUUCUUAAGUCUGAUGUGAAAGCCCACGGCUCAACCGUGGAGGGUCAUUGGAAACUGGGAAACUUGAGUGCAGAAGAGGAAAGUGGAAUUCCAUGUGUAGCGGUGAAAUGCGCAGAGAUAUGGAGGAACACCAGUGGCGAAGGCGACUUUCUGGUCUGUAACUGACGCUGAUGUGCGAAAGCGUGGGGAUCAAACAGGAUUAGAUACCCUGGUAGUCCACGCCGUAAACGAUGAGUGCUAAGUGUUAGGGGGUUUCCGCCCC
rnacentral:rRNA from 1 species